rnacentral:rRNA from 1 species
GACGAACGCUGGCGGCGUGCUUAACACAUGCAAGUCGAACGGAAAGGCCCCUUUGGGGGUACUCGAGUGGCGAACGGGUGAGUAACACGUGAGUAACCUGCCCUUGACUUCGGGAUAACUUCAGGAAACUGGGGCUAAUACCGGAUAGGAAUCCUUGCUGCAUGGUGGGGGUUGGAAAGCUUCGGCGGUUUUGGAUGGACUCGCGGCUUAUCAGCUUGUUGGUGGGGUAGUGGCUUACCAAGGCUUUGACGGGUAGCCGGCCUGAGAGGGCGACCGGCCACAGUGGGACUGAGAUACGGCCCAGACUCCUACGGGAGGCAGCAGGGGGGAAUAUUGCACAAUGGGCGGAAGCCGGAUGCAGCAACGCCGCGUGCGGGAUGACGGCCUUCGGGUUGUAAACCGCUUUCAGCAGGGGCGAAGCUUGUGGUGACGGUACCUGCAGAAGAAGCACCGGCUAACUACGUG